CCUGCCGCCCCCGCAGACAAGGCCGCGCAGCCCGCGCAGCAGGCAAAGGGCAAGCCGACAGCCAGCACUGAUGCCAAGAAGACAAGUAAAAGCUAAGGGCUUGUGAGGUGCAAAGGACAUUUCUCCUCGUCUUCCUCUCGCUGGUGCUGGGAGUCCAGCUCCUGGCACAGACUUGCUGUACCAAAUGGUUAUUUAGGGUAACAAAACUGUGUUCUUUGCCUUUCCUGCACGUUUUCAAACAUGAAAGAUUGUAUUAAAUUUCUUGUGCCUUUA